CAAUCCUUUCAUUUCACAGAUGAAAGAGGGCCGGGAAAGUUAAGUGAAGGCUCCUUGCCAACAAAGGAAGUUGAGCCAAAACCAAGUCCUAAAGCUACACAGAACAAGAUAGGCAUCUUCACCAGGAGACGAAAGAGCCCUGAUAGCCCAGAGCAGGGUGCAGAGCCCAACAAGAACAGCGUUCACACGCGGGGGCAGGCCAGUGAGGUGCGUCAAAGCCCCAGCAGGAGGCAGAGGAUAUCCCUGCCGGAAAGUGCCAGAUGGGACGCUGGGGCAAGGGUUGAUCUCGAACUCCUGGGCUCAAACGAUCCUCCUGCCUUGGCCUCCCAAAGUGCUGGGAUUACAGGCCCAAGCCACCACGACCAGAGUCAAGUUAUUUUGUCUCUACUCAAGGCUGUUUUCUAUCUGCACAACCAACUGACCACUGCACCUCUGUAUUCCUGUUGCCUGACCACCCUGUGGAUUACCGCCCUGAGCAGACACCUGCUUCUACCUCCAUUGCCCAGGGUCUGUUGAGUUGGAAGCGUCAUAUUUGAAACCAUGGGCGAGUGUGAGAAAUGACUGUCAAGACUCAUUUGAAGACCCCACUUGAAGAGACACACGGACCCAGAGGAAGUAAAAUGCCUCUUACUGUACAUGUUGUCUCAUCAAAGCCAAACAAAUCUGCAUGCAUAUUAGUGCAAGUGCAGAGGAGAGAAAUCCUACAACAUUUCAAGCAAGGGGUUGAAAAUUUAAAUUGUUUGUAUCGUACUCAUAUUACUCUUUUAAGAUUUGUAAAAUGUUAUGAAUAAUCCUUCUCAGAGCCACGUAUGGUCAGGCAGGUUGUGCUCUGCAGUGGGGCGCCUGUCCAAUUGGGGCUGUAACCACCCAGAGAAAGAGAUGCCUUUUAAAUUCCAAACAGAGAAGUUGUAUGGCCUAACAGCCACCUUGAAUGUAUUAUCUUUAUUGCUUUAACUUUGUGAACAACAAAACAAAUUCUAUGACUUUUAUUUGUUCACUUCUAAUUGCACUCCCUCAACUCCAUAAAGUCAUGUUUUUCAUCUACAAAUUUUCUUACUCUACAAGGUGUCAGGAACUUCAUCCUUGCAAUUUUGGAAGACUAAAAAAUUAAUUCAAUAUGAUACUUGCAGCGUAAGUAUACAAAGUAUGAGGGGACUAUAAAAGAAGGGACGGGGUAUUGGAUUAAAUUUCUAAAUGGCAAUUACUUUUAAAUUUGCCUGAAACAUUUUGUAUAAGGCAGAAAUGUAGAACUGGUGAAGUUGGAUUCGCAUAUCAUUAUUUGCAUAAAGUUCAAUUCACUAUUCAAUAUUGCCAUAGUGAAGAGAUAUAAUUCUGUAUUCAUUAUAAAAUUUUUAACUAACAUAUUUUUCCAUCUAGUUCCAUAGAGAAAAUUAAUGUGUGCUGCAUAAGUCUCAGGAGGAAAAAAUAUAUAUAUUCUGAACUGCUGACUUUAUCCUACUAAAGCAAGUUCAUGCUGGACUUAUAUUAGAGAGGUUUGUGGUAAGAACUAGUGUUGGUAUGAAAUCCCUAUUCCUUUUUCAAGUGGGAUUUUGCAUAAAAAGAAAAUGAGACCAUGUGCAGUGGCUCACACCUGUAAUCCCAGCACUUUGGGAGGCCAAGGC
rnacentral:lncRNA from 1 species